GAAAUGCGAUAAGUAAUGUGAAUUGCAGAAUUCAGUGAAUCAUCGAAUCUUUGAACACACCUUGCGCUCCUUGGUAUUCCUUGGAGCAUGCCUGUUUGAGUAUCAUGAAAUCUUCAAAGUAAAUCUUUUGUUAACUCAAUUGGUUUCUACUUUGGUAUUGGAGGUCUUUGCAGCUUCACACCUGCUCCUCUUUGUUCAUUAGCUGGAUCUCAGUGUUAUGCUUGGUUCCACUCGGCGUGAUAAGUUAUCUAUCGCUGAGGACACUGUAAAAGGUGGCCAAGGUAAAUGCAGAUGAACCGCUUCUAAUAGUCCAUUGACUUGGACAAUACUUUUAUGAUCUGAUCUCAAAUCAGGUGGACUACCCGCUGAACUUAAGC
rnacentral:misc_RNA from 1 species